rnacentral:rRNA from 1 species
ACGGAGGUGGCGAGCGUUACUCGGUUUGACUGGGUGUAAAGGGUCCGCAGGCGGUCUAACAAGUAGAAAGUGAAAUCCUUCGGCUUAACCGGAGAACUGCUUUCUAAACUGUUAGACUAGAGGAUGGGAGAGGAGAACGGAACUGUCAGUGUAAGGUUGAAAUCUGUGGAUAUUGACAGGAACGACAGUGGAGAAGUCGGUUCUCUGGUCCAUUUCUGACGCUCAGGGACGAAAGCUAUUGGAGCGAACAG